UUGAAAAGCUACACUGUUGUGCUUCGAUCAAACGGCUGUUAUUCGACCGAGGAAAUUAACCUUUAAAGUGCUGAUGGUUUGUCGUUCUCCCUUUUGAAUUCGCCGGCUUUUAAAGAAGUCUUGGAAAUCGUCUCUUUGCUACGACACGUUUCCAACAAAUGUAAUACAAACCCCGAGUUUCGAUCAGUGGAGCGAUCUGCGGGUUCAGCAGCCUUUCUUUAGUUCUUUACCCUCCUCCUUCUCUUCCCUUGAUUUUCUUUCACGCAGAGUUGAGGAAACAUCACAGAGACGACCCACCAAAGCGAGGCAGCUGUACAGUCUACACAAGAAGGGUUUGAUACUGGAUUUGAUUCAGAUAUAAGUGUGAGAGGCAAGAGGCCUGGCACAGAGUUGAACUGCUUUGAAGUGAAGAGAAGGGGAACGGGGAGAUCAUGGGAGACACCACAGACAAUAAAUAAGCAGGCCUUUUUUCCAGAGAUACAUCUCCAAACCAUUCCAGCGCUGAGCUCUUUGCAGCCCAUAUCUCUGGAGUACUAAGAGGAGGAGAGAGGGGUUUCCUUAUUAUAGCUUUACUGAAAGGAAGUAUUUUAACAUUUACUACAGCCUCGAUUGCAAGAAAAAGUGAUCUCCUAGUCCUGCUUAGUAGGAAAUGCUGGAUGAUCAGUGGAUGAAUGCCACAGCUACCUUUCCCUACUGAACAGAUUUCACAGUUUGGGUUUUGUUUCCUGAGAAGUGAACCUCUGUCAGGGGCUCCAAGCCGUGACGUCACCAUCGGCCACAACCCCAGCUCGCCUGCAGCCCCUCCUUCAAUGGAACCUCCCGAUGCUGCUGCCCAUCCUACAGAUCAUGCACAUUAGGCCCAAAGUGGUCUCAAAGCUCUAGUGUGUGCUCAGCCAGGCAUGAAAGAUUGCCAGGAUGACCGUUCAGAUGGUCUGAAAUUAUGCCGUGGAAGGAAAAGAAAGCAGGUUUCAGAAUAAUGGACAGCAAAAAUGACAACUUAUUCUUGCAUGCUGGCUGUGAUUCAGAAAAGCUGUUUGUUCCUCCUAUCAAACAGUUGUCAAUUUUACUUUAUAUAUGAAAACUGUCUUUAUUAAAAAAUAAGUUGCAGAAAUGGUGUCAAAAGUGAAGUAAUGUUGGUUUUCAGUAAAUAAAAGAACAAUUUUCUUCAAGACCA